rnacentral:lncRNA from 1 species
UUUAUACUGGUUUAUACUGGUGUGGGGCUACUGGGGGCUUACUGGGAUGAACUGGGAUGGACUGGAAUGAACUGGUUUGGCCUUUUAAUGGCUGCAGUUCCCACAGUGACCACCGGGGGCAGCAGCACCAUUAUCCCCAAUGAACCGGGCUCAAGCGGUUUGUUACUGGUUUAUACUGGUUUGUACUGGUUUGUACUGGUUUGUACUGGUUUGCACUGGUGCAGAUGCAGUGGCUGCCCGGCUGCUCGUGCCCGCUGUGCCCCGAGUGCUUCCGGCUGCAUUUCACCGUGGGGCUGCGGGAGAGGGGCGUGGGGGCCCUGGGCUGCCCCAGCUGCGGCCGGCCCGACCUGCGCGACGACGCCCAGCGCCUCUGCUACUGGUCCACGCUGGAGCCCGCGGUACUGGCCUAUACUGGUUUAUACUGGUUUAUACUGGGAGGGCGCUGGGAGGGACCGGGAGGGGGUUGGGAGGGACUGGGAGGGGGUUUGGGGGUGCUGGGAGGGAGUUAAAGGGUUAAAAAUGGGAGAGAAAUGCGGAAAAUGGGGAUUUGGGGUUACUGGUUUGUACUGGUUUAUACUGGGNNNNNNNNNNAAAAUGGGAGAAAAAUGGGGAAAAUGGGGAUUUGGGGUUACUGGUUUAUACUGGUGUGGUACUGGUUUAUACUGGUUUAUACUGGGAGGGGACUGGGAGGGACUGGGAUGAACUGGGAUGAACUGGGAGGGGUUUGGCAGUGCUAGGAGGGGGUUAAAGGGUUAAAAACUGGAGGAAAAAAUGGGGGAAAAUGAGGAAAAUGGGAAUUUUGGGAUACUGGUUUAUACUGGUCUAUACUGGUUUGAUACUGGUUUAUACUGGGAGGGCUCUGGGAUAAACCGGGAAGGGGUUGGAACAAACUGGGAUGAACUGGGAGGGACUGGGAGUUGAUUAAAGGGUUAAAAAGGGUGAAAAAUGGGGAAAUGGGGACUUUAUACUGGUUUGUACUGGUUUAUACUGGUUUAUACUGGCUUGUACUGGUUUAUACUGGUUUAUACUGGUUUGUACUGGUUUAUACUGGGAGCAGCUCCGGCGCUGCCUUGACCCCGACACCUUCGGCCUCGUGACCCGGAAGUUGACGGAGCUGGAGCUGCUGAGGGACCCCCAGUUCCUGUGGUGCCCCCAUGUACUGGUUUAUACUGGUUUAUACUGGUUUAUACUGGUUUGGGUUGUUUUCCUUGCUGGUUUAUACUGGUUUGGUACUUGGAUGAACUGGGAUGAACUGGGAGGGGAUUUGGGGUUACUGGGAUGAACUGGGANNNNNNNNNNCUGGGAUGAACUGGGAGGGGAUUUGGGGUUACUGGGAUGAACUGGGAUGGGUUUUGACCUUACUGGUUUAUACUGGUUUAUACUGGUUUAUACUGGUUUGGGUUGUUUUCCUUGCUGGUUUAUACUGGUUUGGUACUUGGAUGAACUGGGAUGAACUGGGAGGGGAUUUGGGGUUACUGGGAUGAACUGGGAGGGGAUUUGG